AGAAAUAGCCUGACCCAUUUGAGUCUACAAAAAGUCGAUUUGAAACAAAAUAGUCUCGGAGAUAUUUUGAGAGAUUUGGGUCCUUUUCAAGACCCUUUUAGUGGUCCUUUUAAGAGUGGUGCGACGGGUCUGCAGUCACGAGAGAGACCGAUGAUGCCACACGCAGUUAAAACACGGCAUUCGUUAUAAUGACAUAUGUUACCUGAUAAGUGCUGGAAAUUAUAACACGGAAAGCGAACGAAAUUAUAGAAGAAUAACCAGCCUUUGUGGAAUACCUAAAGAGACAAUGGCUUCCACUUGCACACAUCCUAUACGUGUUCGGUUGUCAAUCAAGAACGAACAAUGUUGUGGAGAGUUUUCACAACAGAUGUAAAGACGAAUUGGGUGAGCGGCGCGGGAUCCUAAUAUCAGGUGUUUAUUAGACAACACCUCGAUUUUCAUCCAGGUGCGAGAAUUUGACAUCAAUCGGUUGCUUAUUGGUGUUAUUGUGCGAGAAGUGCACGAUGCCAAUACCUCACUAAUCACAAGAGAAUCACGUCUGCUCAAGCCAAGCUUACAAAUUGCCAGUGCGGAAAGUUUUUUAUGAUUAUAAUAGUAAUAAGUAAAUAUUAAAAAUAUUUUCAAGUUGAAGGAGUAAUGACAGAAUAUGUAAUAUCAAACCAUUUUUUAAAUCUUACUACAACAAUGCGCAAUAAUAAUAUUCGUGCUAUUUAAGUUCUUCUUUUAGGUAUGGAAAAACAUUUGCAUUCAUUGAGUUUUUGAAAAUCAACGUGGUUAAAAAUUAUAUACAUUUUGGGAAUAACUCAUAUUCUAAAACAAGGUUUCACUUACGGACUCCAAAGCCACAAAA